AUAAUACUCCAUAGUCCAUGGAAUCUGGAAUGAUCCAUGGAUGAAAGUUCCGGCGCUUAAGGAUCGGUCUGCGGCCUAUCAGGUCGUAGUGGGUGUAACGUACCUACUAGCCUAUGACGGGUAUGGGCCUUGAGAGAGGGAGCCCAGAGUUGGAUUCUGAGACACGAAUCCAGGCCCUACGGGGCGCAGCAGUCGCGAAAACUUCACAAUGGGGGCAACCCCGAUGAGGGAAUUCCUAAUGCUAGCACAUUUGUGUUAGCUUUUCUUUAGCGUAGAUAACUAGAGGAAUAAGGGCUGGGAAAGACGGGUGCCAGCCGCCGCGGUAAUACCUGCAGCCCAAGUGGUGGUCGAGUUUAUUGAGUCUAAAACGUUCGUAGCCGGUUCGGUAAAUCUUUGGGUAAAUCGGGGGGCUUAACCUUCCGACUUCCGAGGAGACUGCCGAACUUGGGACCGGGAGAGGCUAGAGGUACUUCUGGGGUAGGGGUAAAAUCCUGUAAUCCUAGAAGGACCACCGGUGGCGAAGGCGUCUAGCUAGAACGGAUCCGACGGUGAGGGACGAAGCCCUGGGUCGCAAACGGGAUUAGAUACCCCGGUAGUCCAGGGUGUAACGCUGCAGACUUGGUGU
rnacentral:rRNA from 1 species